GGUGGCCCCCCUGACCCCUCCCUGGGCACAGGUAGGGAACCUGAAGGCCCACCUGAAGAUCCACAUCGCUGACGGGCCCCUCAAGUGCCGAGAGUGUGGGAAGCAGUUCACCACCUCAGGUAGGGCCAGGGCUGCCCUGGCUGCCCUCACACCCCUGCUCCUCGGCCACCGGUGGUGCCCCACGCCAGGUUCGCCCUCGGUCUCGCCACAGGGAACCUGAAGCGGCACCUUCGGAUCCACAGCGGGGAGAAGCCCUACGUGUGCAUCCACUGCCAGCGACAGUUUGCAGACCCCGGCGCUCUGCAGCGGCACGUCCGCAUUCACACAGGUGGGUGGUGAGCGGCCAUGCCCAGGACUGGGAGGGCACGGAGAGGAGCAGGCACCAACAACUUCUGCCCGGUCCCCAGGUGAGAAGCCAUGCCAGUGUGUGAUGUGCGGUAAGGCCUUCACCCAGGCCAGCUCCCUCAUCGCCCACGUGCGCCAGCACACCGGGGAGAAGCCCUACGUCUGCGAGCGCUGCGGCAAGAGGUCCUGCCCCCUCCCCCACACCCACUGGCCAGACACCCCACAGUGAGGGGGCUCAGAAGACAAACUGGGGGCUUGGCUGGGGACUGAGCUGACUGCUGCCCACGCCCCAGGCUCUGGUCCUAGGGGUCCUUUUCAGUCUAGA
rnacentral:sRNA from 1 species